rnacentral:tRNA from 1 species
AGCACGGUGGUGCAGUGGGCAGCACUGUCGCCUCACAGGAAGAAGGUCCCAAGUUCAAAUCUGGCCUGGGCCU